AGAAUCAACGCUGGCGGCGUGCCUAACACAUGCAAGUCGCACGAGAAAGGGACUUCGGUCCUGAGUAAAGUGGCGCACGGGUGAGUAACACGUGAAUAAUCUACCUCCGAGUGGGGAAUAACUGAGAGAAAUCUUAGCUAAUACCGCAUAAUACCCACGGGUCAAAGCAGCAAUGCGCUUGGAGAGGAGUUCGCGGCAGAUUAGUUAGUUGGCGGGGUAAUGGCCCACCAAGACGAUGAUCUGUAUCCGGCCUGAGAGGGCGCACGGACACACUGGAACUGAAACACGGUCCAGACUCCUACGGGAGGCAGCAGUGGGGAAUUUUUGCGCAAUGGGGGAAACCCUGACGCAGCAACGCCGCGUGGAGGAUGAAGCCCCUUGGGGUGUAAACUCCUUUCGAUCGGGAAGAUAAUGACGGUACCGAUAUAAGAAGCCCCGGCUAACUUCGCGCCAGCAGCCGC
rnacentral:rRNA from 1 species